rnacentral:rRNA from 1 species
GACGAACGCUGGCGGCGUGCUUAACACAUGCAAGUCGAACGGAAAGGCCCUGCUUUUGUGGGGUGCUCGAGUGGCGAACGGGUGAGUAACACGUGAGUAACCUGCCCUUGACUUUGGGAUAACUUCAGGAAACUGGGGCUAAUACCGGAUAGGAGCUCCUGCUGCAUGGUGGGGGUUGGAAAGUUUCGGCGGUUGGGGAUGGACUCGCGGCUUAUCAGCUUGUUGGUGGGGUAGUGGCUUACCAAGGCUUUGACGGGUAGCCGGCCUGAGAGGGUGACCGGCGACAUUGGGACUGAGAUACGGCCCAGACUCCUACGGGAGGCAGCAGUGGGGAAUAUUGCACAAUGGGCGGAAGCCUGAUGCAGCAACGCCGCGUGCGGGAUGACGGCCUUUGGGUUGUAAACCGCUUUCGCCUGUGACGAAGCGUGAGUGACGGUAAUGGGUAAAGAAGCACCGGCUAACUACGUG